GAUGAACGCUGGCGGCGUGCCUAAUACAUGCAAGUCGAGCGAACGGACGAGAAGCUUGCUUCUCUGAUGUUAGCGGCGGACGGGUGAGUAACACGUGGAUAACCUACCUAUAAGACUGGGAUAACUUCGGGAAACCGUAGCUAAUACCGGAUAAUAUUUUGAACCGCAUGGUUCAAAAGUGAAAGACGGUCUUGCUGUCACUUAUAGAUGGAUCCGCGCUGCAUUAGCUAGUUGGUAAGGUAACGGCUUACCAAGGCAACGAUGCAUAGCCGACCUGAGAGGGUGAUCGGCCACACUGGAACUGAGACACGGUCCAGACUCCUACGGGAGGCAGCAGUAGGGAAUCUUCCGCAAUGGGCGAAAGCCUGACGGAGCAACGCCGCGUGAGUGAUGAAGGUCUUCGGAUCGUAAAACUCUGUUAUUAGGGAAGAACAUAUGUGUAAGUAACUGUGCACAUCUUGACGGUACCUAAUCAGAAAGCCACGGCUAACUACGUGCCAGCAACCGCGGUAAUACGUAGGUGGCAAGCGUUAUCCGGAAUUAUUGGGCGUAAAAGCGCGCGUAGGCGGUUUUUUAGUCUGAUGUGAAAGCCCACGGCUCAACCGUGGAGGGUCAUUGGAAACUGGAAAACUUGAGUGCAGAAGAGGAAAGUGGAAUUCCAUGUGUAGCGGUGAAAUGCGCAGAGAUAUGGAGGAACACCAGUGGCGAAGGCGACUUUCUGGUCUGUAACUGACGCUGAUGUGCGAAAGCGUGGGGAUCAAACAGGAUUAGAUACCCUGGUAGUCCACGCCGUAAACGAUGAGUGCCAAGUGUUAGGGGGUUUCCGCCCCUUAGUGCUGCAGCUAACGCAUUAAGCACUCCGCCUGGGGAGUACGACCGCAAGGUUGAAACUCAAAGGAAUUGACGGGGACCCGCACAAGCGGUGGAGCAUGUGGUUUAAUUCGAAGCAACGCGAAGAACCUUACCAAAUCUUGACAUCCUUUGACAACUCUAGAGAUAGAGCCUUCCCCUUCGGGGGACAAAGUGACAGGUGGUGCAUGGUUGUCGUCAGCUCGUGUCGUGAGAUGUUGGGUUAAGUCCCGCAACGAGCGCAACCCUUAAGCUUAGUUGCCAUCAUUAAGUUGGGCACUCUAAGUUGACUGCCGGUGACAAACCGGAGGAAGGUGGGGAUGACGUCAAAUCAUCAUGCCCCUUAUGAUUUGGGCUACACACGUGCUACAAUGGACAAUACAAAGGGCAGCGAAACCGCGAGGUCAAGCAAAUCCCAUAAAGUUGUUCUCAGUUCGGAUUGUAGUCUGCAACUCGACUACAUGAAGCUGGAAUCGCUAGUAAUCGUAGAUCAGCAUGCUACGGUGAAUACGUUCCCGGGUCU
rnacentral:rRNA from 1 species